rnacentral:rRNA from 1 species
UACGGAGGGUGCAAGCGUUAUCCGGAUUUACUGGGCGUAAAGGGAGCGUAGGCGGCCUGCCAAGUCUGAUGUGAAAUACCGGGGCUCAACCCCGGGGCUGCAUUGGAAACUGGCAGGCUGGAGUGCCGGAGAGGCAGGCGGAAUUCCUAGUGUAGCGGUGAAAUGCGUAGAUAUCAGGAGGAACACCGGUGGCGAAGGCGGCCUGCUGGACGACGACUGACGUUGAGGCUCGAAAGCGUGGGGAGCGAACAGG